rnacentral:rRNA from 1 species
AUUGAACGCUGGCGGCAUGCCUUACACAUGCAAGUCGAACGGCAGCGGACCUUCGGGUGCCGGCGAGUGGCGAACGGGUGAGUAAUAUAUCGGAACGUACCUUUCAGUGGGGGAUAACGUAGCGAAAGUUACGCUAAUACCGCAUAUUCUGUGAGCAGGAAAGCAGGGGAUCGCAAGACCUUGCGCUGAUUGAGCGGCCGAUAUCAGAUUAGCUAGUUGGUGAGGUAAAGGCUCACCAAGGCGACGAUCUGUAGCGGGUCUGAGAGGAUGAUCCGCCACACUGGAACUGAGACACGGUCCAGACUCCUACGGGUGGCAGCAGUGGGGAAUUUUGGACAAUGGGCGCAAGCCUGAUCCAGCCAUGCCGCGUGAGUGAAGAAGGCC